rnacentral:piRNA from 1 species
UGGGCCCACUGGAGCUGUCCUGCUAGACUA